GCAGAGAAAGCGAGAGAGUUGGAGCAGAAGCUGCACUGGGAGCUGGGGGUUCCCGCUGAGGCCCUUGGAGAACAAGAAGGUACCAGGGGGUUCAUAAAAAAAAAGAACAGGGGGCCUUCUUCUGAUGGAAGAUCCUGAUCAGCGGUACCCUUCAGCCUCUAUGAUAAGGAGCAUGUUGCCCCAGUAAAAUGAGAGGAUAGAAGGCACCUUGAAAGGAAGAGUCCAAUAAGAGAACAUGAAACGUCUCAAUGGCUAAGUAACCUGAGGAGAGGAAGCACACCAAGAGUCUGCAGAUAGAGUGGAAACUCAGCCUUGAAGAAGUCAUUUUGUGAAUAAAGUAGGCAAAAUGGAGAAAGUUCAUUCCCCUGAAGUGGAAUAGAAAAGUCCCUAGGUCAGAAAUCAGAAGACCUGGUAUUAAAGCCUGAUUCUGUAUCUUCCUAUAUUUUAUAUUUGAGCUUAGGCAAGUCAAUUCCUUUCUCUCAGCCUCCUUUCCUUCAUCUGUAUAAUAAGGAGGUUGGACUAGAAUGAUUUCAAAAAGCCUAUGAUCCCUCCUCCAAGGCUCCAGUUCAAUAACUUGCUCUUCUCUCCAUAUUUUCCAUCUUGGAGUAAGAAGAUUAAGGGGAAGCAAAUGUCUGAUAUAGGAAAUUUCCCAUUCUUCAUCAACACCUCUUAUUCCUUCACUCCUCAUCCCUCCAUUGAAGGACCGAUUCUUUGGAACUCAAUUUUGGAAAGACUCCUAGGGCAGAUCUUUUUUCAAUCUUUCAUUAAAGAUCACCUCUGGGCACUUCCGGUAUGCGAUGCAGUGAGCAGAUGCCUUCAAGCUGAACUCUGACCCUAGUCCCAUUCAUCUUUACAAUAAUAAUGCUAAGUGACAUUAGAACAGCAGGACAAUUACAUCAAACCCAAGAGCACACCCUGAGGAAAGGAAGAAGUGAAAGUGUCUCAUCUACACCUCAAGAAAGAAAGAAAAGCUGAGAGGGAAGGAAGGAAGGAAGGAAAGAAGGAAGGAAGGAAGGAGGGAAGGAAGGAAGGAAGGAGGGAAGGAAGGAAGGAAGGAAGGAAGGAAGGAAGGAAGGAAGGAAGGAAGGAGGGAGGGAGAGAUGGAGGGAGGGAGGAGGGAGGAAGGAAGAAAGGGAGGGGAAUCAAGAAAAGAGAGGGAAAAGAAAGGAAGAGAAAGGGGAGGGGAGAGAAGAAACAAAUUCUAGAAUCAGUUCCUACACCAGGGAGGAUGUGCUCUGGGUGCAGCCUUUCUCCACGUACUCACUGGAAGGAAUAGAUGUAACAGUCCUUUUUAAAAAUGAAAGCAAGUCUAAGUCUUCACCCUCUUGGGAGAAAAGAUUAGCCUCCUGUGAAAAAAUGCCAGCACUUCAUAUAACAUUACCUUCAAGGUUCCUUGCUCACUGCCUUGUGGGUGAGAUGCUCUAUCAUGAAUCCCCCUCAGUAUUUCCUGCUUGAAUAGAAUCCAAGAGAGACCUGUGUGGGUUAUGCCAAAUUACCAAUACUUGUUUACUUGGUAUUAGUGAAAAAUCUCACAGUGGUUGAAGCUACUGUCCCCCUCUGUGUAGGAUCUGCAGUCAUCCAGCAACACCUGGAAUGAGGGGGUGUGUUGUUCGGCAGAAAAGAAGGGGACCCUUAUAGAUUCUCUGAGCUAGCCUGUUCCUUAAGCUUGGGCAAAGGGCUUUCCUUAUGUACACAAAUCCUGCAGCUGCUGCCACUGAAGUUUUCCACUAUGUUCUGUCCUUUAUCUGAGGGUGACUAUGGGUAAGGAAAAGAAUAUGGGAAGGGGAUAAAAGGAACAAAAGAAGAGCUCACUUCUCUUGUUAUUCAGAGAAUAUGUGUUUGUUUUCACAAAGAAGAAAAUCAGAUCCAUCAAAGUCAAAAUUAACAGAGUAAACAGACAGUGUGAACUUCAGACUCUUUUGAAAUGUACACAUUGGGUGACUGUAGGAACACACUAGAAACUAGCUGGCUUUUAUAGUUUUUAGUUAUGCUGGAAUGGGGAGAUGGUGAUCUAAAUGGGAAACAUGAACUGACUAAUGAUGUAUCUGAAUUUGUGCAUUAAAAAUCCAUAAUGUCAUACAUU